UUUCCGUAGGUGAACCUGCGAAGGAUCAUUAAAAAUAGACCUCGAUUUUGAAGUCUAUUAAUAAUCUACCUUUGUGAAUUUGUUGUUUUAUAUGUUCUUCCUGUUUGUUUGAAGCUCUGUUUAAAGUUUCGAACCUCAGGGAAUGGCAAAAUUUUUUAAAUUAACUUUUGUAUUCAUUUGUCUAAAAUUAUUUUUAUAAUAUAAAACAAUUUUGACAAUGGAUCUCUUGGUUCUCGCAACGAUGGAGAACGCAGCAAAUGCGAUAAGUAGUGUGAAUUGCAGAAUACUGAAUCAUCGAAUCUUCGAACGCAUAUUGCACUUUUUGGUUUACCAAAAAAGUAUGUCUGUUUGAGUAUCAGUAAAAUAUUCUCAUAAAAACUAUUUUUUAUGGUUAUGAGUGUUUACAACGAUAAACAAUUGUUUCACUUUAAAUUCUUUGACUUGUAAAAAAUCAUUAAAAACUGAUUUUUUUUAAAUUGGAUAAAAUUUCCCGUAAAAGGAAUAACUAAACAAUUUAAUAAUUAAUUAGUUUGAUUUUUAAAAGAUCUAAAGGAAAAAGUAAAAUUAACUUGAUCUCAAUCAGAUAAGAGUACCGCUGAACUAAGCAUACAAUAACGGAGGAAAGAAACUAACUAGAUUCCUCAGUAACGGCGAGUGAAGCGGAAGAGCUCAAAUUUGAAAUCUUCAAGUCUACCUUGACGAAUUGUAGUUUAAGAAGUGUUUUCUGUUGGAGUUUGGUAAAAUUCUUGGAAUAGGACACCAUAGAGGUGAGAAUCCGUAUUUGACCAUUAUUUCCAACUUUGUGAUACACUUCAAAGAGUCGAUUGUUGGAAUGCAGUCCAAAAUGGUGGUAAUUCAUCUAAAGCUAAAUACUGGCGAGAGACCGAUAGCGAACAAGUACCGUGAGGGAAAGAUGAAAAGAACUUGAAAAGAGAGUUAAACAGUACGUGAAAUGUCAAAGGAAGCGUUGACACAGUGUUGUUUCUCGAAAAUCAAUUAAAAUGGUGGAUUUGUGUUGUAUUGACUUUAUCAGCUUUCUGCACUUUUUCCUGUCUUUUUAAUGCAUUUUCGUUUAACAAGUCACAUCAAUUCUUUUGUUGUAAAAGGUCAUUGGAAGGUGCUUUCUUUUCGGAGAAAGUGUUUAUAGCUUUGCUCUGCAAUCGGAGAGAUUGAGUCUGCAGCGUAGAUCUCGGUAGAUACAUUGUGCUAAGCUAUAGCCUUUCAUAGACAACUGUGACUAUGAUCAUCAUGUAGCUUACUCGCUUAUGCUAUUUACCUACGCUUAGGAUGUUG
rnacentral:misc_RNA from 1 species